UAAUUUGUUACCGCCGGCGCAUCGUUCGUAACAAAAACCGGGAGCAUCGGUAACGACGCCCCG
rnacentral:sRNA from 1 species